GAUGAACGCUGGCGGCGUGCCUAAUACAUGCAAGUCGAGCGAACGGACGAGAAGCUUGCUCCUCUGAUGUUAGCGGCGGACGGGUAAGUAACACGUGGAUAACCUACCUAUAAGACUGGGAUAACUUCGGGAAACCGGAGCUAAUACCGGAUAAUAUUUUGAACCGCAUGGUUCAAAAGUGAAAGACGGUCUUGCUGUCACUUAUAGAUGGAUCCGCGCUGCAUUAGCUAGUUGGUAAGGUAACGGCUUACCAAGGCAACGAUGCAUAGCCGACCUGGGAGGGUGAUCGGCCACCCUGGACCUGAGACACGGUCCAGACUCCUACGGGAGGCAGCAGUAGGGAAUCUUCCGCAAUGGACGAAAGCCUGACGGAGCAACGCCGCGUGAGUGAUGAAGGUCUUCGGAUCGUAAACCUCUGUUAUUAGGGAAGAACAGAUGUGUAAGUAACUGUGCACAUCUUGACGGUACCUAAUCAGAAAGCCACGGCUAACUACGUG
rnacentral:rRNA from 1 species